UGGGGAAUUUUGGACAAUGGGCGAAAGCCUGAUCCAGCCAUGCCGCGUGAGUGAAGAAGGCCUUCGGGUUGUAAAGCUCUUUUAGUCGGAAAGAAAGAGUUGCAAUGAAUAAUUGUGAUUUAUGACGGUACCGACAGAAAAAGCACCGGCUAACUACGUGCCAGCAGCCGCGGUAAUACGUAGGGUGCGAGCGUUAAUCGGAAUUACUGGGCGUAAAGGGUGCGCAGGCGGUCUUGCAAGUCAGAUGUGAAAGCCCCGGGCUUAACCUGGGAAUUGCGUUUGAAACUACAAGGCUAGAGUGCAGCAGAGGGGAGUGGAAUUCCAUGUGUAGCAGUGAAAUGCGUAGAGAUAUGGAAGAACACCGAUGGCGAAGGCAGCUCCCUGGGUUGACACUGACGCUCAUGCACGAAAGCGUGGGGAGCAAACA
rnacentral:rRNA from 1 species